CCCUUCUCAAGGUCGCACCUGGAGAGUUUGCAGUACUCUACCAGUCCUGGCUACACGAGGGAGAGUCAAACAGAGGCCUGUCCAUUCCAUUCCUAGCUUGGGCAGUGGCUAGCGAGUGGAAGGCAAUCUGCUGCAAGU